rnacentral:rRNA from 1 species
AUUGAACGCUGUCGGCAGGCUUAACACAUGCAAGUCGAGCGAGCGGCGGACGGGUGAGUAAUGUAUGGGAAACUGCCUGAUGGAGGGGGAUAACUACUGGAAACGGUAGCUAAUACCGCAUCCCAUCGGAUGUGCCCAGAUGGGAUGAGCUAGUAGGUGGGGUAAAGGCUCAACUAGGCGACGAGCCCUAGCUGGUCUGAGAGGAGGAUCAGCCAAACGGGGACUGAGACACGGCCCAGACUCCUACGGGAGGCAGCAGUGGGGAAUAUUGCACAAUGGGCGCAAGCCUGAUGCAGCCAUGCCGCGUGUGUGAAGAAGGCCUUAGGGUUGUAAAGCACUUUCAGCGAGGAGGCGUUACCCGCAGAAGAAGCACCGGCUAACUCCGUGCCAGCCGCCGCGGUAAUAC